rnacentral:lncRNA from 1 species
GGAAACCCUGUCACUUUAGCCCCAGGGAAGCUCACCGCCCACAAACAGCCCAGACACUGGAGCCCCGGCCUUGAGAGAGUUCCUGGAGGCGGUGGGUAGACGCUGGGCAGCUGCCCUGCUCCUCAGCCAGCCCGUGCAGAGCCAGCCAGGAGGAAGAGCCUGUGUCCCCGAGUCCAGGGAAAGCCCCGCUUUGUUCUCUCAGGACACCGCCGCGCGUGUCUGGUGGCCGCCCACCCUCAGCUGCGUCCUGUGGAGUUUCCUGGCUUCCAGAGAAGCCCCCGAUGAAUACAUUGGGAGUCCAAGGAAGGCUGACCUGAGACUGGCAGGAGGCCGAGGGCUGGUACAGCUGCCAAACCUGACUAUCUGGGAAGACUGGGAGGGAACACACCAGACUUUCCACACGACAGCCUUCAGAGGACUUCAGAAAUAGAAAUUUAGGAAUGCUGAAGCUAUUUGUAUUCUUUGAACUUGGAUAUUACUAUCGUUUGCUGUUUAAUGUGUAUCUCACUGUCUGACACAGACCAGUGCUCUGGGUCCCAGCCUGACGCCUACUGAC